rnacentral:hammerhead_ribozyme from 1 species
ACUUAUCUGAAGAGUCCCAAAUAGGACGAAAUACGCCUCCUGAUGGAU